GAUGAAGAACGCAGCGAAAUGCGAUACUUGGUGUGAAUUGCAGAAUCCCGUGAACCAUCGAGUUUUUGAACGCAAGUUGCGCCCGAAGCCGUUAGGCCGAGGGCACGCCUGCCUGGGCGUCACACGCCGUUGCCCCCCCAUCUACUCCUUCGGGAUUGCGGGGGGGCGGAUGAUGGCCUCCCGUGCGCCUAGCCGCGCGGUUGGCAUAAAUACCAAGUCCUCGGCGACGCACGCCACGACAAUCGGUGGUUGCGAAACCUCGGUUGCCCGUCGUGUGCGUUCGUCGCGCAUCGAGGGCUCGAAAAAAUGCUCGGCUCCGGCUGGGCUUUCAACGCGACCCCAGGUCAGGCGGGGUUACCCGCUGAAUUUAAGCAUAUCAAUAAGCGGAGGA
rnacentral:misc_RNA from 1 species